rnacentral:rRNA from 1 species
CCCUAAACGAUGUCAACUGGUUGUUGGGUCCUUSCUGACUCAGUAACGAAGMUWAACGCGUGAAGUUGACYGCCUGGGGAGUACGGCCSCAAGGUUGAAACUCAAAWGGAAUUGACGGGGACCCGCACAAGCGGUGGAUYAUGUGGUUUAAUUCGAUGCAACGCGAAAAACCUUACCCACCUUUGACAUGUACGGAAGUUGCCAGAGAUGGCUUCGUGCUCGAAAGAGAGCCGUAACACAGGUGCUGCAUGGCUGUCGUCAGCUCGUGUCGUGAGAUGUUGGGUUAAGUCCCGCAACGAGCGCAACCCUUGCCAUUAGUUGCUACGAAAGGGCACUCUAAUGGGACUGCCGGUGACAAACCGGAGGAAGGUGGGGAUGACGUCAAGUCCUCAUGGCCCUUAUAGGUGGGGCUACACACGUCAUACAAUGGCCGGUACAAAGGGCAGCCAACCCGCGAGGGGGAGCCAAUCCCAUAAAGCCGGUCGUAGUCYGGAUCGCAGUCUGCAACUCGACUGCGUGAAGUCGGAAUCGCUAGUAAUCGUGGAUCAGCAUGUCACGGUGAAUACGUUCCCGGGUCUUGUACACACCGCCCGUCACACCYUGGGAGCGGGUCUCGCCAGAAGUAGGUAGCCUAACCGCAAGGAGGGCGCUUACCACGGCGGGGUUCGUGAC